UACGGAGGGUGCAAGCGUUAUCCGGAUUCACUGGGUUUAAAGGGUGCGUAGGCGGGUUGGUAAGUCCGUGGUGAAAUCUCCAAGCUUAACUUGGAAACUGCCGUGGAUACUAUCAAUCUUGAAUAUAGUGGAGGUGAGCGGAAUAUGUCAUGUAGCGGUGAAAUGCUUAGAUAUGACAUAGAACACCGAUAGCGAAGGCAGCUUACUACAUGAAGAUUGACGCUGAGGCACGAAAGCGUGGGGAUCAAACAGG
rnacentral:rRNA from 1 species